UAACGCGUGAGGAACCUGCCUUUCAGAGGGGGACAACAGUUGGAAACGACUGCUAAUACCGCAUGAUGUAUCGGGGUCGCAUGGCACUGAUACCAAAGAUUUAUCGCUGAAAGAUGGCCUCGCGUCUGAUUAGCUAGUUGGUGAGGUAACGGCCCACCAAGGCGACGAUCAGUAGCCGGACUGAGAGGUUGACCGGCCACAUUGGGACUGAGAUACGGCCCAGACUCCUACGGGAGGCAGCAG
rnacentral:rRNA from 1 species